UACGUAGGGGGCAAGCGUUGUUCGGAUUUACUGGGCGUAAAGGGCGCGUAGGCGGCGCGUAAAGUCGGACAUGAAAUCAUUAGGCUCAACCUAAUGGCUGUGUCCGAUACGUACGUGCUUGGAGUGCGGGAGAGGCAGCCGGAAUUCUCGGUGUAGCGGUGAAAUGCGUAGAGAUCGAGAGGAACACCGGUGACGGAGGUGGGUUGCUGGACCGACACUGACGCUGAGGCGCGAAAGAUAGGGGAGCAAACGGG
rnacentral:rRNA from 1 species